UCCCAUGGACAGAGGAGCCUGGCAGGUUACAGUCCAUGGGGUCGCAAAGAGUCAGACACGAUUUAACGACUAAACAACAACAGCAUAAAUAUUAAAGAAUGAAAACAAAACAAAAAGAAGGGCAAUUGCAAGUCUGGCCUUGGUAGCCUUUUCAAAUCUGGCCCCAGCCACACUAUUUCUAUCUAGCAGCAAUUCCUUUUCCUCCUUCCCUCCCUCCUUCCCUUCCUUCCUUCCUGUCUGUUUAGCAAGCAUAAAUCUUCCAGGUUGUUAUUUAGGGAGGAGAGACUAGCCCCCUCAGCCUGCAUGGAUCCCUCUGUUUUUUUCCGCUGGGUGCAGCAUUUCCCUUCCCUGCUGGCCUGCCGCUGAGUGCUGCUCUGGGCCAGAUGACUUCAAAGCCACCCCUCCCUCCCUGAGGUAGCUGUCCUUAAACUAAAACUCAAACGAAAGACAUUUCUGAGCUCUUUAAAAAUAAUAAUAAUAACAAUAAUAAAACGUCCUGUGAAUUCUCUUGCUUUUCAUGUGGUUCCUUGCCUCUCUCUGACAGCAUGACCUGUUCUGGGCUGCCAGCUCCAAUUCCUUUGAUGUCUGUCUCCAGGAUACCUCCCUGGAAUCUGUGCAGAGCGGAGUGAAAUUGUCUGGCAUGUGUGUGUUGAGGGAGGCGGUAGGGAGAAGCCCCAGCAACUUUGUGUACGUGUUCGGAAGGAAAUGAGGUUUCACUGGCAAUAACCUUGGAAGAACAUAUGUUCUUCUUGAUUAUGGAGAAUAUUCCAGUUUUCUUGUCUUUUCACCACCCCACCUCCAAUUUUCCCUUCAGCCACUGCUUCAGUAUUCAUGGUGCCCUGAUCAUCCAUCGUCUAGUGGUUUCCUUCAGGUAAUUUUGUUGUUUUCCAGAUUCUUCAAAGCAACCUGUCUCUCCUCUGGCCAGUGCCUGGGAUCUUCUUUUGAGGCAUGCCUCUCCAUUAAGCACAACAAAAAAUUAUUUAUUAUUACAGAGAAUUUUAGAUUACACAGAAGGGUCAUAAUCUCAUGAACUCCAUAUACCCAUUAUCCAGCUGAAGCAAUAGUCAGUUCACAGCCAAUUUGGUUUCAUCUAUAUCUUUCACAGCCUCCCUCCCCUUCUGUUAUUUUGAGGCAGAUCUCAGCUGUUGUAUCAUUUCCGCCAUAUUGAAAUAUGAUAUAUAGAAGGUUAGAGUUUGAAGAACAAUCAGUAACACUGUUACUGUACCCCCAAAUUAAUAAUUCCUAAAUAAUAUUAAGUAUCUAAUUAGCAUUCAAAUAUUUCAUAUAUCAAAAUAUCAUAUCUAUAUAUAUGUCAGCAUUUAAAAUGACAUGUAUAUCUUGAUUCAGUCUCAAGAUUUCUUAACUGUUUACCUAACCAAAACCUAAAGAGCUGCAAUUAGACAUUUCACCUCCAAACUAGCUAGGGGAAUUCUGUGCAGGGCACUCAAUUUGGGAUGUGUGGCCAGGCACUUACCCAGAAGGGUGCUGGCCCCAUGCUACAGACCUUCCUAGUCAGGCCCUAUGGCUGCAGCUCUGGGUUCUUUCUCCCCUUGGUCGUGGAGCCCCUGGGUAUAGACAAUUUCCUCAUAAACUUUGAGUCUCUGGGGUCACUUCAGAUUUUUGUUCCGUAUGUUAUACAAACCUAAAGCAUUUAAACAUGUUGUUCCUUUUUUCUUAUUUAAUUGACUUACAUAGCAUUCAGUGCACCUAACAUUGUUCUAAGCAUUUUUGCAUAUUAACUGUCUAAUUAUCACAAUAACCCUAAAGAUAAGCUUAUAGGGACCAGAGGAAAAGGGUGGCUUUUUGUCUCUCUUAUAUCAGUAGGUUUUGUGAUAGUGAACACAUGUCCCAUAUUUUCUGGGACACUCCCAGUUUUAUAUCAUUUUAACUUUUUUAGAAAAAAAUGUGAGUUUAUACAUGUGUGAACUGUGAUGCCUUUGUGAAGUAUUCAUAUGUACUUGCAAGUUAGAAACUCUCUUCCAAGCCACAUAUUCUGAAAACCAGUUCAGUUGACAUUCCCUGCACCCUUGAAGUCAGGUGUUGGCAGCAUCCUUCUUUCCUCACUCUUUGCACGUGAGACCAGGGUUUGGCGUCCCAGAAAGCAGGCAGGCCAGCAUACCUUGCUGUCCUCUCCCUGCUUCUCGCCAGCUUAACGCUUUUCAUCCAGCUCUGUUCUUUUCCACAGCUGAGUCCAGUCUUCAGGUCACUCUGGGGACUGGGAGGCUUAGAAGGAAAGAGUCACUGGCUGAGUGUGUCGUUUCCCAGACAGGGCUUUCCUGGGGAUGAACGCUGCCGGGUGUGAGGGCUGCACCUGCCCCACAGCCACGCUCCAAGCACGCAUCACUGUGGUGCUCAGACAAAGGGCAGCUCUUCCACUCUCAAUGGGGGGAAAAGGUAAAAGAGAACCGGAAGGCUUUGUCACGAGAACAUGUUUGGUCUAAUGAGAGAAGAUUGCUUUAACCAUGCAUGUCCUCUGUACUGGGGCCUGAUCAGAUGAGUGGGGGCAGGUGAUACGGAGAGACCCCAGCCAUCCUUUGGAGGCCGAUUGAUGUGAGCCGAGGGGAUUUGAGGAUAGUGUAGCCUUGUGGUUAAGGCUGUAGGUUUUAUCUAGGGAUGUUUGAAGGAUGCCAAGCAGACCCUUGUGUGGUUGGUGUGGUAUGAAAGGUGUAUGCUCCCAAGAACCACAGCCAUCAACACCCACAUUAAUAGCCUUCUCUCCCAGGGCUUCGUCAGAGCAGUGCCUUCUGUUAAGGUUGUGUUCUGCAUUGCUCAGGACCUCAUACGCAGAAAGCGCUCGAUAUAUUCACAAUGGGCUUCCCUGGUGGCUCCCCAGUAAAGAAUCUGUCUGCAAUGCAUGAGACUCGGGUUCCACCCUGGGGUUGGGAGGAUCCGCUGGAGAAGGGAAAGGCAACCCACUCCAGUAUUUCUUGCCUGGGAAAUCCCAUGGACAGAGGAGCCUGGUGGGCUACAGUUCAUGGGGUCACAAGAGUUGGACACGACUUAUCGACUGCACAACAACUCACACUGAAUGAGCUGCACAUAGCUCAUUGGUUGGAAUACUCGUUCACUGCAGUCCUCCAUGGACCCCAAAGCUGGUGUCUGUUUCCUUUCACACGACCUCACCAGAUCUUCUCCAAACAUUAUCACCUAAGUUCUUCCUUAUUCUGCCUUAACCAGAAGGUUCACAGGCUGAGGUUUCCCUCAGCCACACCUGGACCCGAUCAAUUUCCUAGGUCUCAGUUUCCAAGAAUUGCCCUUCCCCAAACCUCAUUGCCUGGUCGGCUACCCACGAAAUGGCCUCUGGUUUCUCAUCGUCCUGUCGGCACCCUCAUCAAGUGGGAGCCCCCCACUUCUCAGUGUUGUUAAGCUGAGGGGGGCUUGGCCGUCAAACAGACCACACAGUAUAGCAGAGGUGGUGACUUCUUGCCAGAGAAGAAUCGGAGCAAUUGGGGUGGAGACCUGCGGUUCUUCUAAAGAGCACAGAAGAGUGAUGCAAUCGAUCACAGGAAAGGAUUUUGAUCCACUUUCUAGAACUGAAGCCUUCAGGAUCCAGCCAUUUCCCUUCAGAGCCUUAAAAGUCAUUGUGCCAUUGAGACUUGAUUUCCUGCCCUUGUGUCCCUUUUUCCUGCUGAUUUACCCUGCUCCUCCCUGGAAUCCCUGGCUGUUCCCUCACCACAGUGACUUCUAGUAGCCUAGCAACAUUGAUCUCGUGGAGCAAAGCCACCCAGGUACUGCUGGCCCUGCCAAGGAGAGAUCACGUGAAGGUGUCAGGUAGCCAGCAAAAUAUAUCUCCUUGGACUAGAUAUUCCUUUGGCUUGGUAAGGGCAAACCUCUUUAGUCCAGCCUGGAUGUGAGGGGACCUUCUGCUUGUUUUAUUGAUUUUUUUUUUUUUAGCCAAAGCAAUGUUAGCAGAGCCAAGAAUAAUGCUGGAAAGAUUAUGCACAAGAUCAUGGUCUUGCACAGUUUCCUGACAGUGGUCCAGCCUGCCGUCCACUUGGGACCCGAGAGCUUCGGUUGAGAAACCCUGCGCUGCGAUCAGAAUGUGAUGGAUCUGAACACAAGCCUUUAGCUUCUGAUGGACCCUGCCUCAUGCCAGCCUCUUGCUGCCUUUUAUGUGGCUCCCAGCCAGGAGUUUUGAGCUGUGUUCAGAGUCUUUGUUUAGGAUUUCCUAAGGGACAUCAGAGGCUUCCCAAGUGAAGCAGUGGUAAAGAACCCACCUGCCAACGCAGGAGACACAAGAGAUGUAGGUUCAAUCUCUGAGUCGGGAAGAUCCCCUGGAGAAGGAAAUGGCAACCUACUCCAGUAUUCUUAACUGGAAAAUUCCAUGGACAGAAGAGCCUGGUGGGCUAUGGUCCAUGGGGUAGCAAAGAGUUGGAUACAACUGAGCGCGCGUGCACACACACAAGGGACAUCAAAAGCAUGUCCCCAGGUGGGCACAGAGCCUGUCUUCAGAAUGAAGCAUCUGCAAAAAGAAAAGGAAAAGACUGUUUGAUUCCAGAGACUAUUCAUGGCUGAGAAAUGGAAGACUGGAAGCAAGUGAUGCUGUGUGGAAUCCUUAAACCCUUCUUAGUGUCUGCCUCCUGCUCAGACCUGCACAUCUUGUGACUACAGUCACUAUCUAAGCCUUGCCCGAUCUGUGUGGGACCUGUCAUCCUGGGAAGACCCUUUCCUUGGGACUCUCUCUUGUACCCCCUCAUCCCACCCAGUAAACAUGGCUUAGGACUGCUUUGUCUGAACUGUCCCUCUUACCCCUGAGAUGACACUUGCCAGACUCCUCUUUCAUACACACUUCAGUUAUUCUUCCUUGUCUUCAGCUGUAUAUCUGUUGGGAAAACCCCACGUGUUAAUAAACAGCGAGUUUUAAAACAUCA